GACGUAGGGGGCGAGCGUUGUCCGGAUUUAUUGGGCGUAAAGAGCUCGUAGGCGGUUUGUCGCGUCGAAUGUGAAAACCCGGGGCUCAACCCCGGGCCUGCAUUCGAUACGGGCAGACUAGAGUUCGGUAGGGGAGUCUGGAAUUCCUGGUGUAGCGGUGAAAUGCGCAGAUAUCAGGAGGAACACCGGUGGCGAAGGCGGGACUCUGGGCCGAUACUGACGCUGAGGAGCGAAAGCGUGGGGAGCAAACAGG
rnacentral:rRNA from 1 species